rnacentral:rRNA from 1 species
UUUUAUAAGAAUAUGAUGUUGGUUCAGAUUAAGCGCUAAAUAAGGACAUGACACAUGCGAAUCAUACGUUUAUUAUUGAUAAGAUAAUAAAUAUGUGGUGUAAACGUGAGUAAUUUUAUUAGGAAUUAAUGAACUAUAGAAUAAGCUAAAUACUUAAUAUAUUAUUAUAUAAAAAUAAUUUAUAUAAUAAAAAGGAUAUAUAUAUAAUAUAUAUUUAUCUAUAGUCAAGCCAAUAAUGGUUUAGGUAGUAGGUUUAUUAAGAGUUAAACCUAGCCAACGAUCCAUAAUCGAUAAUGAAAGUUAGAACGAUCACGUUGACUCUGAAAUAUAGUCAAUAUCUAUAAGAUACAGCAGUGAGGAAUAUUGGACAAUGAUCGAAAGAUUGAUCCAGUUACUUAUUAGGAUGAUAUAUAAAAAUAUUUUAUUUUAUUUAUAAAUAUUAAAUAUUUAUAAUAAUAAUAAUAAUAAUAUAUAUAUAUAAAUUGAUUAAAAAUAAAAUCCAUAAAUAAUUAAAAUAAUGAUAUUAAUUACCAUAUAUAUUUUUAUAUGGAUAUAUAUAUUAAUAAUAAUAUUAAUUUUAUUAUUAUUAAUAAUAUAUUUUAAUAGUCCUGACUAAUAUUUGUGCCAGCAGUCGCGGUAACACAAAGAGGGCGAGCGUUAAUCAUAAUGGUUUAAAGGAUCCGUAGAAUGAAUUAUAUAUUAUAAUUUAGAGUUAAUAAAUAUAAUUAAAGAAUUAUAAUAGUAAAGAUGAAAUAAUAAUAAUAAUUAUAAGACUAAUAUAUGUGAAAAUAUUAAUUAAAUAUUAACUGACAUUGAGGGAUUAAAACUAGAGUAGCGAAACGGAUUCGAUACCCGUGUAGUUCUAGUAGUAAACUAUGAAUACAAUUAUUUAUAAUAUAUAUUAUAUAUAAAUAAUAAAUGAAAAUGAAAGUAUUCCACCUGAAGAGUACGUUAGCAAUAAUGAAACUCAAAACAAUAGACGGUUACAGACUUAAGCAGUGGAGCAUGUUAUUUAAUUCGAUAAUCCACGACUAACCUUACCAUAUUUUGAAUAUUAUAAUAAUUAUUAUAAUUAUUAUAUUACAGGCGUUACAUUGUUGUCUUUAGUUCGUGCUGCAAAGUUUUAGAUUAAGUUCAUAAACGAACAAAACUCCAUAUAUAUAAUUUUAAUUAUAUAUAAUUUUAUAUUAUUUAUUAAUAUAAAGAAAGGAAUUAAGACAAAUCAUAAUGAUCCUUAUAAUAUGGGUAAUAGACGUGCUAUAAUAAAAUGAUAAUAAAAUUAUAUAAAAUAUAUUUAAUUAUAUUUAAUUAAUAAUAUAAAACAUUUUAAUUUUUAAUAUAUUUUUUUAUUAUAUAUUAAUAUGAAUUAUAAUCUGAAAUUCGAUUAUAUGAAAAAAGAAUUGCUAGUAAUACGUAAAUUAGUAUGUUACGGUGAAUAUUCUAACUGUUUCGCACUAAUCACUCAUCACGCGUUGAAACAUAUUAUUAUCUUAUUAUUUAUAUAAUAUUUUUUAAUAAUUAUUAAUAUUAUUAAUUUUUAUUUAUUUAUAUCAGAAAUAAUAUGAAUUAAUGCGAAGUUGAAAUACAGUUACCGUAGGGGAACCUGCGGUGGGCUUAUAAAUAUC